ensembl:lincRNA
CAUUAACCUGUGUUGGGGGAAUAGAUAAAAGAUCUUCCUGACACUUUCUACUGGAGUGCUUUUAUUGAAUGCCAGAUUUUCUUUAUGAAAGAGUUUCAGCUAGAGACACAGAAAUCACUUUUGCUCAAACCUUUUCACACAACUCCUUUCCAUCUCCCCACAGAAGGAGAGAAGCAGGGAUCCCAGAUAACGCCACCCCCAGAACAUGCCGUUGCUCCCCAGGACAUGGGUGUGCUGAUUGGAGCAGCACCAGCUUGUCACCCGAGGGGGAGUGGCCUGCGGCAGCAUGUUGGGGCAAAGCCUGCUGUGUGCUCCUGAUCACUCAGCACCCGUGACCCCACACAAGCCCUGUCUGGGCAGGAGUGCCUGCCUGAACGACCCUGAGUGACCACAGGCUGCCAGGCAUUAGCUCCGCAUGGGAAGUCACCGCUCAUUGCCAAGGACUCUCCCGGUGCCCCAAAGGCUUCCCAUGGGCACUGACACCCAGUGGGCCCAAGCCCCAUUCCAACUUUUGUACCUCUGUGUCAUCCCAAAGUGUCUGCCCUGGGAAGAGGAUCAGCAUUCAUGGAAGAGACACACAUGCUUCCCUACCCUAUCUCCUUACUCCAGGAAUGGCCCCAUGGCUGGAGGUAUAACAGGAUGGCAUAAAUGGGAAUCUCAAUCAAGACAAAGAAGAAAAACAAGGCCAGAAACCAUGUUGUGUUGUAGAUCUUUAAAUUCCUCACACAGAUGUGAGCUUCGUCAUGGCCAAGGUGAAAAGAGCAACCUGCACAGUGAUCCAUUUCACAGGUCUAUACAGGGCAACCAGAGGACAAGUCCCAGCCCAGGAGAAGUCCCUCUGGAGGAUUAGCCAAGGCAAUUGGUUCUCAGCAGACCUGACCUUCACCGUGACUUUGCUGGUCCUGGGGACAUGGCUAACUCACUUGAUUCCUUAUGAAGUCAGAGAAGCAUUUCUGUUCUGGUCCCUUCCAGGACAUCUGUGAAGGUCCAGUGAGGUGCAACUGCUUUCUGAACCAAAAAGAACCGUGCAAGCGUUGAGACUUUCUUAUCUCCGAGAUCGAUGACCUUGACCUCCCCAGUCUUCUGUCAUCUCAGUUGUAAAGUUGGCCAUAAAAAUCUUCACCGGGUUUUUGUAAGAAUACAAAUCACUGGUUCACGCAGGACUUUCGCUGACCCGAAUUCUCUCUGUCCUUGAGUCCAUCAUUCCCUAAGCAGAAGGGUCACACGUAAGACAGAGAGGGCAAGGGGGUCUCAGCUGUAGUACUGUGGAUUUUAAGUUGGACAUGUCUCUCUCUCUCUCUCUCUCUCUCUCUCUCUCUCUCUCUCACACACACACACACACACACACACACACACACACACACGUGCAUGAGCCAGAGCAGCUUCUUGAGUGUGUUACCUGGGCAGGUGCACAGCUGCCCACUGAGAAGGAACCUGCUCCAUUGUUAUCUUGAAAUUCUAAAUAAACCGUUGUUCUUUCUUGUGUUGUGCAUUCCUUUUAGAACUUUUUUUUUUUUUUUUUUGGUACCAGGGAUUGAACUCGGGUCCUUGUGCUUGCAAGGCAGGCCACCAAACCACUGAGCUACAUCCCCGGCCCUUGCAUUCCUUUAUUUAAACUGACAAACGUAUAAAUUUAUGGUAUACAGAAAGGCUAACUCAGCUAAGUUCUAUAUCCUUUCAUGUACGUAUUUCAUAGUUGGAACAUUUAAUGUCUAUCUCUCAGCAAUUUUCAAGCAUCUGACAUACUGUUACUGCGCAGAGGCACCGUGGCAUGCAGUGGUUCUCUUGUCCUUACUGCACCCAUCUCACUGCAAUUUGUACCCUUUGACCAGCAUCUCCGCUUCUCCUCACCACACCACACCAGCCCCUGCUAACCACCAUGCUCCUCGCUGCUUCCAUGGGGCCAGCUCUUCUUGGGUUCCAUGGAUGAAUGAGAACGUGCAGUAUUUAUUUUUCUCUGCAUGCCUUCUUUUGAUGACAUAAAGUUCCCAAGGUCCAUUCAUGUUGUUGCAAAUGACUCGAUGGCAUUUUCUUCCUCCGUUCAUCUGUUGAGGGACCCUGGCUUUGUUUCUGUAGCUUGACCACUGUGGGAAAGGCUGCAGUGGGCAUGUGUAGACAGGCAUCCCCCCACUGUACUGCUAACAGUUCCUGCAGAUAGGUACUCAGACGUGGAAUGCUGGAGUUCAAUCUUUAGUUGUUCGAGGGGCCUCACACUGAGUUCCGUAUUGGUAGACUGAUUUACAUUCCCGCCAACAGUGUGUCAAGUCUCCUUCGUCUGCACGUUCUGGCCAGCUUUCAUCUUCCCUCAUUUUGAUAGCAGCCAUUCAGACAAUGAGAGGUGGUGAUAUCUCAUUGUGCUCUUAAUUUGCAUUUUUGAUGAUUAGUGACCUUGGGCAUGUUUCUGUCUUCUUUUGAGAUAUUUUUAUUCAAGUCCUUUGUGCAUAUUUCAAUUGAGUUGUUUGGGUUGUUUGUUUUGCUGUUGAGUUGUUUGAACUUUUUAUGUAUUUUAGACAUUAAUCCCCUAUCAGAUGUAUGGUUUAUAAAUGAUUUCUCACAAUCCAUCAAUUGUCCUUUUACUCUGUGGGUUACAUCCAUUGUUGUGCAGAGGUGUUCAACCUGAUGCAAUCUUGUUCAUGUAUUUUGGCUUUUCUUACCUAUGCUUUUGGUGCCAUAGCUAAACAAUUAUUGUUGUCUUAGUUACUUUUCUCAUGGCUGAGACAAAAUACCCAACAGCCACAGUUAAGAUAGGAGAGGUUUAUUUGGCUCACAGUUUGUAGAGGUCUCAGUUCACAGUCGGCUGGCUCCAAGGCAGGGUGAUAUGGCAGAGGAGGAAAAAAAAAAGUUCAUUCAUGGAAGGCAGGAAGCAACAAGCAACAAGUGACCAUAGUAGCCUUCUUUUUGUCCCUUAUAUUCUGUCCAGGCAGGUAGCACUUAUACCCAGAGGGUCUUCCCAUUAUCCACACCCAGACCUAUGUCAAACCAAUCAGUGCUAAUUUAGUAAUCACACACCCUUGAUCCUAGUAUCACACACUUAAUUCCAG